UCAGUCGACUCCUACGGGGAGGCAGCAGUGGGGAAUAUUGCACAAUGGGGAAAACCCUGAUGCAGCCAUGCCGCGUGUGUGAAGAAGGCCUUCGGGUGUAAAGCACUUUCAGUAGGGAGGAAGGUAGUGUAGUUAACACCUGCAUUAUUUGACGUUACCUACAGAAGAAGCACCGGCUAACUCCGUGCCAGCAGCCGCGGUAAUACGGAGGGUGCGAGCGUUAAUCGGAAUUACUGGGCGUAAAGCGCAUGCAGGCGGCCUGUUAAGUCAGAUGUGAAAGCCCGGGGCUUAACCUCGGAAUUGCAUUUGAAACUGGCAGGCUAGAGUCUUGUAGAGGGGGGUAGGAAUUUCAGGUGUAGCGGUGAAAUGCGUAGAGAUCUGAAGGAAUACCAGUGGCGAAGGCGGCCCCCUGGACAAAGACUGACGCUCAGAUGCGAAAGCGUGGGGAGCAAACAGGAUUAGAUACCCUGGUAG
rnacentral:rRNA from 1 species